rnacentral:rRNA from 1 species
UUGAACGCUGGCGGUAUGCUUAACACAUGCAAGUCGAACGGAAACGAUACUAGCUUGCUAGUAGGCGUCGAGUGGCGGACGGGUGAGUAACGCGUAGGAAUCUACCUGAUAGUGGGGGAUAGCCCGAAGAAAUUCGGAUUAAUACCGCAUAAUCUAUUCGUAGUAAAGUGGGGGACUUUCGAGCCUCACGCUAUCAGAUGAGCCUGCGUAAGAUUAGCUAGUUGGUAGGGUAAAAGCCUACCAAGGCUACGAUCUUUAGCUGGUCUGAGAGGAUGAUCAGCCACAUCGGGACUGAGACACGGCCCGAACUCCUACGGGAGGCAGCAGUGGGGAAUAUUGGACAAUGGGGGCAACCCUGAUCCAGCAAUACCGCGUGUGUGAAGAAGGCCUGAGGGUUGUAAAGCACUUUCAAUUGUGAAGAAAAGCUAGUGGUUAAUAGCCAUUAGCCUUGACGUUAACUUUAGAAGAAGCACCGGCUAACUCCGUGCCAGCAGCCGCGGUAAUACGGAGGGUGCAAGCGUUAAUCGGAAUUACUGGGCGUAAAGCGUGCGUAGGCGGUUUAUUAAGUCAGAUGUGAAAGCCCCGGGCUUAACCUGGGAACUGCAUUUGAAACUGGUCAACUAGAGUAUGGUAGAGGAAAGUGGAAUUUCUGGUGUAGCGGUGAAAUGCGUAGAUAUCAGAAAGGAACAUCAAUGGCGAAGGCAACUUUCUGGACCAAUACUGACGCUGAGGUACGAAAGCGUGGGUAGCAAACAGGAUUAGAUACCCUGGUAGUCCACGCCGUAAACGAUGAUAACUAGCCGUUGGGGGGAUUUACCCCUUAGUGGCGAAGCUAACGCGUUAAGUUAUCCGCCUGGGGAGUACGGCCGCAAGGUUAAAACUCAAAGGAAUUGACGGGGACCCGCACAAGCGGUGGAGCAUGUGGUUUAAUUCGAUGCAACGCGAAGAACCUUACCUGGUCUUGACAUCCUGAGAACUUUCUAGAAAUAGAUUGGUGCCUUCGGGAACUCAGUGACAGGUGCUGCAUGGCUGUCGUCAGCUCGUGUCGUGAGAUGUUGGGUUAAGUCCCGUAACGAGCGCAACCCCUAUCCUUAUUUGCCAGCACAUCAUGGUGGGAACUAUAAGGAGACUGCCGGUGAUAAACCGGAGGAAGGCGGGGACGACGUCAAGUCAUCAUGGCCCUUACGACCAGGGCUACACACGUGCUACAAUGGGAAGGACAAAGAGCCGCGAAGCCGCGAGGUGUAGCUAAUCUCAGAAACCUUUUCGUAGUCCGGAUUGGAGUCUGCAACUCGACUCCAUGAAGUCGGAAUCGCUAGUAAUCGUAGAUCAGAAUGCUACGGUGAAUACGUUCCCGGGUCUUGUACACACCGCC